CCUACGGGAGGCAGCAGUAGGGAAUCUUCCACAAUGGGCGAAAGCCUGAUGGAGCAACGCCGCGUGAGUGAUGAAGGUUUUCGGAUCGUAAAACUCUGUUGUUAGGGAAGAAGAGUCCGACGAGAAAGCCCCGGCUAACUACGUGCCAGCAGCCGCGGUAAUACGUAGGGGGCAAGCGUUGUCCGGAAUUAUUGGGCGUAAAGCGCGCGCAGGCGGUUUAUUAAGUCUGAUGUGAAAGCCCACGGCUCAACCGUGGAGGGCCAUUGGAAACUGGUAAACUUGAGUGCAGGAGAGGAGAGCGGAAUUCCUGGUGUAGCGGUGAAAUGCGUAGAUAUCAGGAGGAACACCCGUGGCGAAGGCGGCUCUCUGGCCUGUACUGACGCUGAGGCGCGAAAGCGUGGGGAGCAAACAGGAUUAGAUACCCUUGUAGUC
rnacentral:rRNA from 1 species